GCUGCCUGAUUUAAAUAGAUUUUCCCUCAAAUAAACUCUUAACAUUUUUAAUAUGCCUCAGUUUAUCUCUUAACAGUCCUGCUGGUAGAAGAGAGCACAAAAGGGACCCCGACAGCCCUCAGAAGAAUGAGCAAGCAGGUGUUAGUGCCUCGCGCUCCCUGCUUUCUGGCUGCCUCUGGAGGUCAGAGGUGAGUGCCUUUCAGAUCCUGGAUCCCAGCUCCACACCUUCUGUAUUAUGAACUUUCAGACUUUACUUGAACAUUUCCCUUUCUAGAAUGCAUGUGAAAACUGGCUGGAGUCAGACCGGGUCCAACUUAAAACCCAGACUAGAUCCGAACCAGACGAAAUCCAACUUAGACUAGCCUGGGUCCAAUGUGAGGCCUCAGGUGAAUACGAUUUUGUUUUAAGGUUGAACAAGUGGAUUAACGUUUUAGAAGGUAAUCUUGAAUCAGAGGGACCACGGUGGAGAACACGGAACCAUUGUAGAUAAACUCGUCCAUUUAUGAGGCGGCCUGUAGGGAAAGGGGUCUCGGGCAAGCACUUGGUAUAAAGGGUAGAGGGAAAAUUAUAUUUUCCUCUCCACAGUUUCUGGUGACCAGGAUGGGACCCACCGGGAUACUACUCCAACUCAGUCCAGAUUCCACGAACAGCAUCCUUGGAAAAUUGGCAGGAGCCAGCAACGAGUCCUAAAUGCAUACUCUCAGCCACCAGCAGUACAUCUUGCUUGCUGUUCCUGGAAGCACAGAAGCAAGAUGAACAAGAUGAACAGCAAAAACCCUUCUUCUAGGGAUCCGACAUCCUCACCUAAUGCAUACAACACCUUGGUGUUCAACCACACUGACCCCAGAGGACCCACCACUUUCCGACGCUACUGAUGUACUGAUGUCAUCUGUAGCUCACAGCUGCUUCCUGGUAUCUGUCUGACCUCUGGGAUAAAACAGGGCUUAGGAUGCUUUCUCAUUUACUCCAUGUCUUUACUUUUUUUCUCCAGAAGUAUGCUAAACUGAUAAAAAUCAACCAUGAGAUUACCUUGUAUUUUAGCACCAAGACUUCUCAGUUCUAGGCCUUAGAGGGUAAGCCCUUCAUUAUGGGUAACUGCACAAAUAAUAGCAAUUUAUUGGUAUAAAUUCCUUCUGGCCUGUCAGUAGAAAAUAUUUGGACUUUUUAUUAUUAUCAAUCAAAGUCACAAGUUUGAAAUUAGGAGCACAUGUAAAUUCAGCAAAUUUGAGUUCCUUUGUGUGUCAGUCCAGUGCUAGGUGCUUCCAUUUGGUCUCUCAUUUCAUCUCCUAAAAAUUCUUUGAGAUAAUUUCUCUUUCUACCAACUUUUUUUUUUUUCUUAUGAGAAAAAUAAUACCAAGAAUUUACCUGAUGUUGAGGGUCAAACAGUAACUAGCAGAGUUGUGAUUUGAAACUUAGGCUCCAAACGCUAACUUCACUCCUCUUUACACUAGAACAGUGAUUCCCAGAUCAGCAGCAUCAGCAUCUCCUGGGCAAUUCCUAGAAAUUAGUUCUCAGGUCUUGCCCCAGAUCUGGGGUUGACGGGGGGCAGACACCUGUGUACAUCCUCCAGAUAACGCAAGCUAAAGUCUGAGAACCAUUACACGACACAGUUGUGUACACAAAUGUAUGUAAUUUGGUCUACCCAGGUGGAUGGUUGAGUGAGUUAAAUGACUCUCAUCAUUGAAAAAC
rnacentral:lncRNA from 1 species